UCUGUUUUUUGUUUUAAAUUCAUAUAAAAAUUAUAUUCGCUCAGUAGCUAGUUGUUGGUAGAAUUUGGUAGUUUUCAUGAUAGAAUGCAUGUUUGUGUAUUCCAACGCAUUUGAGGUUGUUCUUUUUUGACAGUAUUAACACUGAAUUAAUUCAGGUUAUGUAAUUUUUCUCAGGUUUCCGAAGUGGUGAGAUGACCGUUUUUGAUGGUGGGACAGAACAAACGAAGCUAGCUUUAUAUUUUGUAGAGGGAGUUUCCCGGAAAACACCUUCUGUUUUGCUUGGCACUUGCCAUCUUCUGCUUUGCUGCAAUUAUUUUGGAUUGGUAUGGUGCAA